UACGUAGGGUGCAAGCGUUAUCCGGAAUUAUUGGGCGUAAAGAGCUCGUAGGCGGUUUGUCGCGUCUGCUGUGAAAACUGGAGGCUCAACCUCCAGCCUGCAGUGGGUACGGGCAAACUAGAGUGCGGUAGGGGAGAUUGGAAUUCCUGGUGUAGCGGUGGAAUGCGCAGAUAUCAGGAAGAACACCCGUGGCGAAAGCGGCUCUCUGGAACGGUACUGACGCUGAGACGCGAAAGCGUGGGGAGCGAACAGG
rnacentral:rRNA from 1 species